AUUGAAUUAAAGUUGGUUUAUUUUAAAUUUGAUCAAUAAGAAGGGACUUUUAAAAAAAUGGGAUUAACGAAUGGAGAAAAAGAAGUAACUUGAGAAAAUAGGGUGUAUUAUUAAUUAACCUGAAGGAAAUAAUAAUUUGAGCAUAAGAAUAGAAUAAUUUAUGUAGAAAGAAAAUGUGAUUAGAUACAAUUAUCUCCUAUUAAUGUAUCUCUUAUACUAGAAAUGUAUCGAUGUAAACGCACUUUAACAAAUCAACGGAAAGAGGAUCCGAU